GAUGAAGAACGCAGCGAAAUGCGAUAAGUAGUGUGAAUUGCAGAAUUCAGUGAAUCAUCGAAUCUUUGAACGCACAUUGCGCCCCUUGGUAUUCCAUGGGGCAUGCCUGUUCGAGCGUCAUUUGUACCUUCAAGCUCUGCUUGGUGUUGGGUGUUUGUCUCGCCUCUGCGUGUAGACUCGCCUCAAAACAAUUGGCAGCUGGCGUAUUGAUUUCGGAGCGCAGUACAUCUCGCGCUUUGCACUCAUAACGACGACGUCCAAAAGUACAUUUUUACACUCUUGACCUCGGAUCAGGUAGGGAUACCCGCUGAACUUAAGCAUAUCAAUAAGCGGAGGA
rnacentral:misc_RNA from 1 species